CCCAUGCUGACUCAGACACCAAGGGAAACAUUGCAGAGAAGGAGACACGGAGGGGUGUGGGAGUGUAUCCUUCAGGGAGGAAUGAGGGGCUGGUAUGGAGGGACACUAAAGCUAACAGCUGGCCAAAUUACGGUAGCGCGUCCUCGGUCUAUGUCCCAUGUGUGUACAGGACAACCAACUGCAGGACGAGGACAUUCAAGCUUUCUUGACUUACUUGAGCUGCAGUCGGCGCCUAUGAAGCCAGGAGGACAGUAGCAGGAACCAGUCCUGAAGUCACAGCGACCACCAUUGAUGCAGCUGCACCUGG